UACGUAGGUGGCAAGCGUUGUCCGGAAUUAUUGGGCGUAAAGAGCUCGUAGGCGGCCUGUCGCGUCGGAUGUGAAAGCCCGGGGCUUAACCCCGGGUCUGCAUUCGAUACGGGCAGGCUAGAGUUCGGUAGGGGAGAUCGGAAUUCCUGGUGUAGCGGUGAAAUGCGCAGAUAUCAGGAGGAACACCGGUGGCGAAGGCGGAUCUCUGGGCCGAUACUGACGCUGAGGAGCGAAAGCGUGGGGAGCGAACAGG
rnacentral:rRNA from 1 species